CUCCACCUCCCUGGGCUCAGGUGAUCCUCCCACUUCAGCCUCCAAGUAGCUGGGACUACAGGCAUGUACCACCACACCUGGCUUUUUUUUUUUUUUUUUGACAUGAAGUCUCUGUCACCCAGGCUGGAAUGCAGUGGCGUGAUCUCGACUCACUGCAACCUCUGCCUCCUACGUUCAAACAAUUCUCCCACCUCAGCCUACUGAGUAGCUGGAAUUACAGGCAUGCACCACCACACCUGGCUAAUUUUUGUAUUUUUAGUACACACGGGGUUUCAUCACGUUGGCCAGGCUGCUCUUGAACUCCUGGCCUCAAGUGAUCCACCUGCUUCAACCUCCCAAAGUGGUAGGUUUACAGGCCUGAGCCACCAUGUCCAGCCUCAUUUUUUUUUGUAUUUUUAUGUAGAGAUGGGGUUUUGCCAUGUCACCCAGGCUGUUCUUGAACUCCUACGCUCAAGUGAUCCACGUGCCUCAGCCUCAAAUGUCUAUUAAUGAUCAAUACAGACCAAUUUCAGGGCUUUUUUGGGUAUAAAAAGUAAGGAUAGUAGAGGCCGGGCACGGUGACUCACGCCUGUAAUCCCAGCACUUUGGGAGGCCGUGGCGAGUGGAUCACAAGGUCAGGAGAUUGAGACCAUCCUGGCUAACACGGUGAAACCCCAUCUCUAUAAAAAUACAAAAAUUAUCCAGGCGUGGUGGCACGCAGCUGUAGUCCCAGCUACUCGGGAGGCUGAGGCAGGAGAAUCGCUUGAACCCAGGAGGCGGAGGUUGCAAUGAGCUGAGAUCGUGCCAUUGCACUCUAGCCUGGGUGACAGAGCAAGACUCUACCUCAAAAAAAAAAAAAAGUAAGAAUAGUAGAAAGAAUAAAGGGCUUUCUGUUUAUGAGGAUCAGGCUCAUCAGCAGAUACAAAACUACCCACCAGAACCAUGAGCCUUCUCUCAGGAACAGAGGUCUGAAGGGCCACAUAGUCCAUAGAGGUGUCCAACAAGGAGCAGACUAAAAAGUUGUGAAGAGCCAGGUGUGGUGGCUCACACCUGUAAUCCCAGCACUUCGGGAGGCCAAGGCAGGUGGAUCACUUGAGGCCAGGAAUUCAAGACCAGCCUGGCCAACGUGGCGAAACCCCAUCUCUACUAAAAACACAAAAAUUAGCCGGGCAUUGUGGCUCAUGCCUGUAAUCCCAGCACUUUGCGAGGCUGAGGCGGGUGGAUCACAAGGUCAGGAGUCCGAGACCAGCCUGACCAACAUGGUGAAACCCCGUCUCUACUAAAAAUAAAAAAUUAGCCGGGUGUGGUGGCACACGCCUGUAACCUCAGCUACUCAGGAGGCUGAGGCAGGAGAAUUGCUUGAACCCAGGAGGCGGAGGUUGCAGUGAGCCAAGAUUGCGCCACUGCACUCCAGCCUGGGCAAGAGUGAUUUUUCUCAAAAAAAAAAAAAAGAAAAGAAAAAACCCCAUAAAAAUUAGCCCAGCAUGAUUGCGGGUGCCUAUAAUCCCACUACUCCGUAGGCUGAGGCAAGAGAAUCGCUUGAACCUGGGAGGCAGAGUUUGCAGUAAGCCGAGAUCAUGCCACUGGACUCCAGUCUGAAUGACAAAGUGAGAGAAAUUCUGCCUCAAAAAAAAAAAAAAAAGAAAAAAAAGUUGUGAGGAAAGUUGAUACUGGUUCCCUAGAAUGGAACCUGUUGUUAAAGACAGUGUUUCCAAAGUAUUUUUGAAAUCUAAAACAGACUGAAGUCAACAUAUGAUACUUCUCCCAAGGUACUGCAUGGCCUCUUAAAAUGCACCUCUUGGUAUUUCCACUGAGAGCAAAGGGUUUCUACACCUUUCUAAGCCUCCUCAAACCUGGCUGCAUAAUUGCCUUCCAAGUUAACUACUCCUGAACAGUUCGGCCUCAAAAUGAGAGCAUUUUAAAUGCAGGCCAAAGUCAUUGGGAAAUAAGCCUCCCACCCCAAAAUACAAUAGAACCACUGUCAUCAGCCCUGCCUAGCUAACCAUUUUCUGCAGCAUAAGCAACUAAAGCUGCACACCAAUUUAUACCUCAGUGAUGUUGCCGCACAAAUAAGGAAGCAUAUAAUGCCACCUUUGCCUCUUUAAUUAGAGAACAGGCUGGACCAGAUGGCUGUGGGGUGGAACCUUACAAAAAUGAUGGACAACCAGAAUGAGAUUUUCUGCUCUAUCAGCUCAGGCUCUAAUUUUGACUGCAAGAAGCUUAUGGAGCAGAGGAUUAAAGCACUGGUGCUGGCUUGUCUUUAGCUAAAGAUAGGAGUGGCCAUUCAGAGGAGUUUGUUCAUUUUUUAAAAAGCUAUGAACAAAUUCUAGAGCUUAUAUAUAAAAUAUUUAUGGAAGUAUGGUAAGAUUAGAAAGCUUAGAAAUAACUACCUGUCAAUAAAGGGAACAAGUAAAGGGAUUCGCUUAAGUGGCUGCAGAGGACACUAAGAUCUUUUCUAACCCCAGUGUAGGCACAAACGGCGAAAAAGGGAGCAAGAAGAAUAAAAAUGGUGAGGUGUUUAACAAUAGCAAAAUCUCCCUUUUGUCAACCUAUUAAAAAGGGCAAAUAUGAGAGCAAAAUUCUGUCCAAUUUCACUAAGAAUUUUAUCCUCACUUGUUUACUUCCAGCAGCAAAGUUAAACCUGGAUUCUGAUCCCUUGUGCUGACUUGUGUUUUAAAGAGCAGGUGCCUAGGAGAAAGACGACGGGGGAAGAAGUGGGGCGUGAAGCUCAAAAGAAGCCUCAGUCAGUGCAGAUUCCAGAGAGAACUUCUGAUAAAAAUGUGAGGAAGGUGUGUGUGUGUGUCACACGCGCGCGCAUGUGUCUGCCUGCUCUAAUGUCAG
rnacentral:lncRNA from 1 species